rnacentral:tRNA from 1 species
GGCAGGGUAGCUCAAUGGUUGAGCAGCAUCUUCAUAAGGUGACGGUUGUGGGUUCGAUCCCCACCCCUGCCACAA